rnacentral:misc_RNA from 1 species
GAUGAAGAACGUAGCGAAAUGCGAUAAGUAGUGUGAAUUGCAGAAUUCAGUGAAUCAUCGAAUCUUUGAACGCACAUUGCGCCCCAUGGUAUUCCGUGGGGCAUGCCUGUUCGAGCGUCAUUUACCCCCUCAAGCUCCGCUUGGUGUUGGGCGUCUGUCCCGCUUCGCGCGCGGACUCGCCCCAAAGGUAUUGGCAGCGGUCGUGCCAGCUUCUCGCGCAGCACAUUGCGCUUCUCGAGGCACCGGUGGGCCCGCGUCCAUCAAGCUCACCCCCCCAGUUUGACCUCGGAUCAGGUAGGGAUACCCGCUGAACUUAAGCAUAUCAAUAAGCGGAUGA